rnacentral:rRNA from 1 species
CCAGGCCUUGACAUGUCCAGUAUGGGCUUCAGAGACGAAGUCCUUCAGUUUGGCUGGCUGGAACACAGGUGCUGCAUGGCUGUCGUCAACUCGUGUCGUGAGAUGUUGGGUUAAGUCCCGCAACGAGCGCAACCCUCGUCCUUAGUUGCCAUCAUUCAGUUGGGAACUCUAAGGAAACCGCCAGCGUUAAGCUGGAGGAAGGUGGGGAUGACGUCAAGUCCUCAUGGCCCUUACGGCCUGGGCUACACACGUGCUACAAUGGCGGUGACAGUGGGCUGCUACCUCGCAAGAGGGUGCGAAUCCCAAAAAACCGUCUCAGUUCGGAUUGUCCUCUGCAACUCGAGGGCAUGAAGUUGGAAUCGCUAGUAAUUGCAGAUCAGCACGCUGCGGUGAAUACGUUCCCGGGUCUUGUACACACGC